rnacentral:lncRNA from 1 species
GUGAUUGACGGUCUUCCUUGGUGAGCGGUUUUGGUGUGUAUUGUGAAAUUGAAGACGCAGCGGGAUUAGAGAGCAUGCUAGCGGGUAGUCCUGCAGGUCAGGAGGAUCAUGGCGGAGAUCGUGCGGAUUAGAGUAUUUGUUUUUAGUUUUACAGCCUUGUAAAUUGUGAGGUGAGUGAUGCUCAAUUUGAGCUUUACAAAUUUACUUUGUACAAGUGAGUUGUAUUAAUUAAACUGAGGUUUUCGAGAUUUGAAAUUUGAGUGGCGUGUGUUGUAGUUGUUUAUUCAUGUUU